CUACUGGGGUAUCUAAUCCUGUUUGCUCCCCACGCUUUCGCGCCUGAGCGUCAGUACCGAGCCAGAUGGCCGCCUUCGCCACCGGUGUUCUUCCUAAUAUCUACGAAUUUCACCUCUACACUAGGAAUUCCGCCAUCCUCUCUCGGACACUAGCGAUCCCGUUUCAAAGGCAAUUCUGGGGUUGAGCCCCAGGCUUUCACCUCUGACAAAGAUCACCGCCUACGCGCGCUUUACGCCCAGUAAUUCCGAACAACGCUAGCCCCCUUCGUAUUACCGCGGCUGCUGGCAC
rnacentral:rRNA from 1 species